rnacentral:lncRNA from 1 species
UGACAACCGUGACUUGAUGACCCUUUUCGGCUAGUGCUUCUACAAUUGGCAUGAAAGAUAUCUUGUGGCUUUUGGAACAGACAGGUGCCAGCACUAAAAUUCGCUCGGUUUGGCUGAACACAAACCAAUGGUUCAAUAAAACCUCAUCGUGUGAUGUUCACUUUUAUCUCUCGGUUACAAACGCUACAAGACUUAAAGAGGCAAACAGGAACAGCCAUACGUCUAGCAGGUAGAGCUGAUAAAAAGGCAUGUCGAUGCUUCGAAGAUGCUGUGUUCCACCUUGACGAAGGACGUGUUCUACCCAAUAGGCAGCUACUUCUCUGGACGGCACCAACUGGUCGUGCAUCAAUCGAGAAAGCCGAGUUGCAUUACCUUUGUAACUGGUGGUAUUCCCUUUUCACGACACAGGUAUAGUUUCUAACCAAUGAAACCUCAGUACAUACCUUGGCUCGUUCACAAUUCUCUGGAUCGAUUUGUAUAACAAAUCUUCCGUUAAAUCUUCCCAUUCGAGUUUCACGGCAUAACCCUCUUGGCUGGCUUUCAAAAGGAGGCUUCAAAAACAACAACGGUUACCUCCUGAAUUCCCAUUAUACCACCAUGUGCGAUGAACAACCGGGUGUUUUUAUGACCUAAUGUGUUUUUAAAGAAAUGAUCUUGUUGGGGCAGCCAAUCAACUAUUUUGAUGUUGUCCGGUAAUUUGGAGAGAUUAUCCUUUUCCCACUUCCAAACAAUUCGUUGUGGAAGACGAGAAAAUACCCGAACAAAUGUCUGGAAAAUGUGAGGCGGCAUUGAAGAUACUCGAGAAUUCGAUCCGAGGUAUUUUAAACGAACCUCUGGUAGCGGCUCGAUCGGCCUAACAUGCAUUGCUGGCACGGGAACAAACGUCGGCGGAAGCGAACGGGGCCAACUAGAUGCCGGAUGCAGGUUAAUAAAGCAUAUCUCAGAUCGUUUUUCAAUUUCAGCUAUUGGCCGUGCCAAGGGGAAGUCCUUUUUGGCUAAAUUGUCCAAGGUUGACAGCAAGUAAAAUUUUCGCACAACCAGAAGUGCUUCAGUGAAUACUGCAUUCGUCAUCCUCUGGGUGAACGUCAUGGGGCUGGAGAAGGUACCCAUCAGUGGCGGAAUGCUUGCAUACUCAUGACUAGCGCCCUUCGCUGCCCAAUUCCAUGGUGUUCCAGGCCCGGGAUCAAAAAAGAUGAAUGGUUUUCCUAAGUGGUCUACCAGAGGAUAAGCAAAGUCGUUGACGAUUGCGUCCAUUAUGACAAUGUCGUAGUCUUUGUUAUGUUUGAUUUCUUGAAUCUCUUUAUUUGCCAUGAAGCUUUCGUAUGCAGAAGUCAUGGUAGUGAGGAAAAAAUGGAAAAUGCCCAUCGUAUUGUCGAGAAUGUUGAAGCGCUUGAAGUCAUACCACUCAACGUCAACAAAUUCGAGCAACUCCUUUACGACGAUUUUGCGGAUGUUUGGCGCUUGGGUUUUCACAGAAUGUGGCGUCACGACCGUUAAAUGGUGACCUUUUUGCGCCAACGUUUCCACCAUGGGCAUCAUGGAAUUUAAGUGACUCCUGGGACCUAGUGGAGACAGAACUAGAAUCCUUGCCGUCGAACUCAUCGCCAAUUGGAAAAUGCAGUGCUGGUGCAACACAAUCUUUUCAAGACGGACGUUGAAUUAGAUGGAUAUAGCAAAUGAAUCGAUGGGCGUAUACCCCUUACUUGUAAAGUAAAUAAUUAACAUUCAGUCGGCAUUUAAUUGCUUUUAAAUGUAAUUUUUACGGAGCAAUGUUGCGAUUAACGAGUCGAAAAGCUCACUGAACUCGCAAUUUUACGACACGCUUGGAGGUAGCGGCAAGACAUACUGACCCGAAAUAAUAGAAGCAAGUCAUGCUCCAGCAUUAGCGAAUCGCGUUGGCUGAACGGGAUUUUUUUACAAAUUAAUCUGGUUUCGCCUUCGUUAAUCUUUUUUCUGUGUGCCUACCUUGUUAAAGACGGAUAACAGGAAUGAUAAAGUAUGUGAUCUGGAAAAAACGAUUACGCAUAUUCAUGUCCCAUAACUUGCAGGAUUUCUCUGUGAUUAAACCAGAGCCUAGCACUUUUACAUGGAAGCGAACUAUUUAAAAAAAGGUCAUUGGCUUGUCAAAUGGCGACUGAACCAAUAUGAUAUGGGUCGCACAGUGGCCUGAUUUUGAUAAAAGUGCAAGCGCGACUGCAAUUAAUCAUCUACUGGAUUUUUAUUUUCGUUCGUCUGAACAUUCCGAAAAUGCAAACUAUAAUUUUGUAGAUGAUCCAUAGCGGAAAGAUGAGAAUGGCCGUUAGAAGUAACCAAACAUCCAGGAGGAUAUGUUCCACCCAGUAAGCUGCAACUUCUCCAGGGGGAACUAGCUCAUCUUGCAUUAGCUCGGACAAACGACUGGCAUUACCCUGGGCAAACCGAGAAUUGGUACGCCAUGAUAUAUCGCUUCUUGAGUUCCAAGUAACCCGCCAUGUGAAAUGAAAAGCCGAGCAUUCGGAUGACCUAUUGCCGUUGUUGGUUUUGGUAGUGGAAAAAGGAGUUAUCAUUCAUAUCUUGUUGCGGUAACCAGUCAACCAUUUUGACGUUAUCGGAAAUUUCCUUUGCAUCCGAAAUGCCUGUUUCCCAUUUCCAGAAAACGCGUUGAGGAAGACGCGCAAAAACUUGAGUAAAGACUUUCUUUACAUGUUCUGGCAUGGAAGAUACCAGUGCAUUGGAACCUAAGUGCUUUUGCAGGUCGAACGUGGAGCGCCCCGAUCGGAAUGAACGUCGGUGGAAGCGGACGAGGCCAUGCGGUAGCCAGGUGAUAACUGGCCAAACAGAGUUGUGCCUUUCUUUCAAUUUCCGCGAUAGGCAUAGCGUUGGGAAAGUCUGACCGGACGAGGUCAUCCAACAUUGGAAGGAGACAUGUCACUCUUUGAAUCCGGAAGCCAAUGUUGGAACACUUGCGUACUCGCGUGGAACGUUAAAAGCCGCCAAACUCCAUGGUGGGCCUGUAGCUGCACUGUGGAAGAUAAAAGCCACACCGAGAUGCUCAAUCAGCGGAAAGGCGUUUCCGUCUUCGGCUCGUGGGGCGUCACUACAGUUAUGUGAUGACCUCUUUUGGCUAAAACUUCCAUAAUUGGCAUAAAUGAAUACAUAUGACUCCUCGUCCCCAUCGGAGACAGCAUAAGAAUUCGCGCACAAUGGCCCAACAGUACCCAUUGCGCAAGAAACGGUAUGAUAUACAUUAAAUACAACUUCAUUUUUGCUUUGGUAAAAUUAGAAAAUGCGACUGCACACUCCGAGUAGAAAUUGUUAUACUAGCUGCAUUCAGCUGUUAACUAUUGUUAUCUCUGUUUGAAGCUCGUCAUAGUUACUAGGCAAAAUUGACUGAAGCAGUUCAUGUGACUUGGCAUUUUAAUAAACUUGCCACCAAUGCAGUGGUCUAAAGUGCA